rnacentral:rRNA from 1 species
UACAGAGGGUGCGAGCGUUAAUCGGAAUUACUGGGCGUAAAGCGCGCGUAGGCGGCUUUGCAAGUCGAGUGUGAAAUCCCCAGGCUCAACCUGGGAACUGCAUUUGUGACUGCACGGCUAGAGUGUGUCAGAGGGGGGUAGAAUUCCACGUGUAGCAGUGAAAUGCGUAGAUAUGUGGAGGAAUACCGAUGGCGAAGGCAGCCCCCUGGGAUAACACUGACGCUCCAUGCACGAAAGCGUGGGGAGCAAACAGG